GGGGGCAGGAAUCUCUCGCAUGUGUCGGACAGUUAUCAUCAGACCGUGCCGGAGAAUUGGUGACGUUUGUGAUCUUUUAUUAAUCCUUCGCAACCCAGCACGUUCAGACAAAGUCAGAAAUGCAGCAAAGAGUGAUCCAUGCAUCAGAUGGCAUUGAGAUGGGCAGCGUCUCCCAGAGGGAAAGUAGCUGUGACGGCGAACUCGGUGAAUGUGGACUCGGACCUCUUACAUCAUCUGGGGAGGACACGGAGGACUCCGCGUAAACAUCGAGCUUGUUGUUUGGCCUGCUUAUUUCAGUCGGAGAGAAUAGGAAGACGUGACCAUCGCUGAAAACGUAAUCUUCAAGAUCUUUUAUUGCAGAUAAAUUGUUUCCGAGUUGGCUCAGAGGAAAGGACAAUACUUCCCCACACUUCGCGGCUUUUCAAACCCCAACUUGCGCCAUCAAGUCCUUUGAAAAGAAAUUCACAUCAUCAAGAAACCGCUUUAAUGGGAUUCUCCCUCCCCAUUACUAACUGCAUUUGAAGGCGGGCGUGGAUUUGCAAAAAAAAAUCACAUUUUUCCUUCCAAAGUCAGAAAUUCUUUUCGUCUGCAGUAAACAUCACGGAUUAGGCAAAGACUUCCCCCCCGCCCUGCUCUCUCUCUCUCUCUCUCGCCGAGUUCACCCGGCGACCAAACACGCGCAUUCCACAGAUUGCUGGCAAACUUCUGACUCCCGGUGGCACAGAAAAUAUGCAGGGCAGGACCAGAGCGGGGAUCGCACGUUGCCUUACCCGGGAU